rnacentral:rRNA from 1 species
UGUGACAUACCUAUCGUUGCCUCGGCAGGUCGUGCUGUCCGGCAGCUGCUACCCUGUAGGAAGUGCUACCCUGUAGUUACCCUGUAGUUGGUAGGAGCUACCCUGCAGCACGCCAAAGGCCUGCCGGAGGACCCCCAAACUCUGAAUCUACUGUAUCUCUGAGUAUAACACAAAAAUAAGUUAAAACUUUCAACAACGGAUCUCUUGGUUCUGGCAUCGAUGAAGAACGCAGCGAAAUGCGAUAAGUAAUGUGAAUUGCAGAAUUCAGUGAAUCAUCGAAUCUUUGAACGCACAUUGCGCCCAAUAGUAUUCUGUUGGGCAUGCCUGUUCGAGCGUCAUUUCGACCAUUAAGCACUAUUUGCUUAGCGUUGGGAACUUACGCACCGUAAUUCCUCAAAUUCAGUGGCGGAGCCGGGUCAUGCUCUAAGCGUAGUAACUAUUUCCUCGCUUCUGCAGCUGGCCUGUAUCCUGCCGUAAAACCCCUAAAUUAUAACUGGUUGACCUCGGAUCAGGUAGGAAUACCCGCUGAACUUAAGCAUA